rnacentral:rRNA from 1 species
UACGGGGGGAGCAAGCGUUGUUCGGAUUUACUGGGCGUAAAGGGCGCGUAGGCGGUCACGACAAGUCAGUUGUGAAAUCUCCGAGCUUAACUCGGAAAGGUCAACUGAUACUGUGCGGCUAGAGUGCGGAAGGGGCAACUGGAAUUCUUGGUGUAGCGGUGAAAUGCGUAGAUAUCAAGAGGAACACCUGCGGCGAAGGCGGGUUGCUGGGCCGACACUGACGCUGAGGCGCGAAAGCCAGGGGAGCGAACGGG